ACGGGUGAGUAACACGUUGGAACCUGCCCCGAAGUGGGGAAUAACUGCUCGAAAGAGUACGCUAAUACCCCAUAGUAUCCGGUUUAUACCGGGAUUAAAGAUUUAUCGCUUCGGGAGGGGCCUGCGUCUGAUUAGCUUGUUGGUGGGGUAAAAGCUCACCAAGGCGACGAUCAGUAGCUGGUUCGAGAGGAUGACCAGCCACACUGGGACUGAGAUACGGCCCAGACUCCUACGGGAGGCAGCAGUGAGGAAUCUUCCACAAUGGACGAAAGUCUGAUGGAGCAAUACCGCGUGCAGGACGACGCUUUUCGGAGUGUAAACUGCUUUUGUCGUCGAAGAUUAUGACUGUAGACGAAGAAUAAGGACCGGCUAACUACGUG
rnacentral:rRNA from 1 species